rnacentral:rRNA from 1 species
AUGGCAGCAACAAUGGAGCCAAAGGCCAAACAUUGGCUGUUCACCUUAAUGGAGCUGUUAUCUCAUGCUGAAUUUGUCAAGCUUUCGAUGACCUUAUGGGCUAUCUGGGCAGCAAGGCGGAAGGCCAUCCAUGAAGGCAUCUUUCAGAGCCCACAUGCGAUCAUGUCUUUUGUCGAUAGGUACAUCAAUGAGUUUGAGGUGAUCAAUGGUAGACAGGAGCAGGCCCGUACCCAGUCUAGGGUGGCAACUGUGGGCGUGAGGAAACCAAAAGCCCCCCAUGCGGGCUAUGCAAAAAUCAAUGUUGAUGCGGGGUGCAGAAAAGAAAGUAGGGGGACAGCUAUAGCAGUAUGUAGAGAUAACACCGGAAAGUUCCUCGGAAGUUCGGCCCUCGUAGUCAGAGGUGUGGAUGAUCCAGCGACGCUCGAGGCAAUGGCAUGUCGGGAAAGAUUGGCACUCGCAGCCGAUCUCCAUGUCAAUCAAUUUGUCAUUUCAUCUGAUGCUAAGGAGGUGGUCAGCGCUAUCCAUAAUGAUAGCUGUGGACCUUAUGGAGCCAUCAUCAAGGAGAUUAGAGUCCAACAAUUAUCUUUUCUUUGCAAUUUUUGUUUCGAAGGUCGUUUGAACAAUUUAGAAGCUCAUAAGUUAGCCAAGCAUUCACUUUCUUUGGGUCCGGGGCGCCACGUCUGGUUUGGCCAACCCCACGACCUGAACUGUAUCCCACUUCAUGUGGUCUUUGAUGAAUAA